UCCGCGAAAGAGCGUCCCUGAUGAACCUCGUUGUGCUAACCACCCGAGCUGCCUGAUGUCUUCGGACGGAUGGUGGUGAGCGUGGGAACCUGAUGGGUAGUAGUCAAGCGAUGGGGUGACGCAGGAAGGUAGCUGAGCCCGGCCGGUGGUUGUGCCGGGGUAAGCGUGUAGGCCGUGGUGUAGGCAAAUCCGCACCACAUGAAGGCUGAGACGUGAUGCCGAGCCGAUUCAGGUGAAGUCAGUGAUCCUAUGCUGCCGAGAAAAGCCUCUAGCGAGUUCUUAGCGGCCCGUACCCCAAACCGACACAGGUGGUCAGGUAGAGAAUACCGAGGCGAUCGGGCGAACUGUGGUUAAGGAACUCGGCAAAUUGCCCCCGUAACUUAGGGAGAAGGGGGGCCGGAGACGUGAAGCCCCGCGCGGGUGGAGCGUUGUAUGGCCGCAGAGAGCAGGGGGAAGCGACUGUUUACUAAAAACACAGGUCCAUGCGAAGAAGUAAUUCGAUGUAUAUGGACUGACGCCUGCCCGGUGCUGGAACGUUAAGGGGACCUGUUAGCUCUUCGGGGCGAAGCGGAGAACUUAAGCGCCAGUAAACGGCGGUGGUAACUAUAACCAUCCUAAGGUAGCGAAAUUCCUUGUCGGGUAAGUUCCGACCUGCACGAAUGGCGUAACGACUUCCCCACUGUCUCAACCACAGGCCCGGCGAAAUUGCAGUACGAGUAAAGAUGCUCGUUACGCGCGGCAGGACGGAAAGACCCCGGGACCUUUACUAUAGCUUGACAUUGGUACUCGAAUUAGCUUGUGUAGGAUAGGUGGGAGCCGGUGAAGUCCAUACGCCAGUAUGGGUGGAGGCAAUCUUGAAAUACCACUCUGGUUGAUUUGGGUAUCUAACUUCGGACCGUUAUCCGGUUCAGGGACAGUGUCUGGUGGGUAGUUUAACUGGGGCGGUUGCCUCCUAAAAGGUAACGGAGGCGCCCAAAGGUUCCCUCAGCCUGGUUGGCAAUCAGGUGUUGAGUGCAAGUACACAAGGGAGCUUGACUGUGAGACUGACAGGUCGAGCAGGGACGAAAGUCGGGACUAGUGAUCCGGCACUUGCGAGUGGAAGCGGUGUCGCUCAACGGAUAAAAGGUACCCCGGGGAUAACAGGCUGAUCUUCCCCAAGAGUCCAUAUCGACGGGAUGGUUUGGCACCUCGAUGUCGGCUCGUCGCAUCCUGGGGCUGUAGCAGGUCCCAAGGGUUGGGCUGUUCGCCCAUUAAAGCGGUACGCGAGCUGGGUUUAGAACGUCGUGAGACAGUUCGGUCCCUAUCCGCCGUGCGCGUAGGAUACUUGAGAAGGGCUGUCCCUAGUACGAGAGGACCGGGACGGACGAACCUCUGGUGUGCCAGUUGUCCCGCCAGGGGCACGGCUGGUUAGCUACGUUCGGAAGGGAUAACCGCUGAAAGCAUCUAAGCGGGAAGCCUGCUUCAAGAUGAGGUAUCCCACCCACUUUGUGGGGUAAGGCCCCCAGCUAGACGACUGGGUUGAUAGGCCGGAAAUGUAAGCCCGGUAACGGGUUCAGUUGACCGGUACUAAUAGGCCGAGGACUUGAAUA
rnacentral:rRNA from 1 species